GUGCUUGCUUCGGCAGCAUGUAUACUAAAAUUGGAAUGAUACAGAGAUUAGCAUGGCCCCUGUGCAAGGAUGACACACAAAUUCAUGAAGCAUUUGGUAGGAGA
ensembl:snRNA U6 U6 spliceosomal RNA